CAACCCCUCAAGCCCUGCUUGGUGUUGGGGCCCCUACGUGCGCCGUAGGCCCCGAAUUCCAGUGGCGGGCUCGCCGCGAAACCGAGCGUAGUAGUAUUACCCUCGCUCAGGACGUCGCGGCGGGUGCCGGCCGUGAAAGAAAACCGACUAUGUUUAGACAA
rnacentral:misc_RNA from 1 species